AACGCUGGCGGCAGGCCUAACACAUGCAAGUCGAGCGGCAGCGCGUCCGACCACCCUCGGGUGGUCGGAUGGCGGCGAGCGGCGGACGGGUGAGGAAUACAUCGGAACGUACCUUAUCGUGGGGGAUAACGCAGCGAAAGCUGUGCUAAUACCGCAUACGCCCUGAGGGGGAAAGCGGGGGAUCGCAAGACCUCGCGCGAUUAGAGCGGCCGAUGCCUGAUUAGCUAGUUGGUGGGGUAAAAGCUCACCAAGGCGAUGAUCAGUAGCUGGUCUGAGAGGACGAUCAGCCACACUGGGACUGAGACACGGCCCAGACUCCUACGGGAGGCAGCAGUGGGGAAUUUUGGACAAUGGGGGCAAUCCUGAUCCAGCAAUGCCGCGUGAGUGAAGAAGGCCUUCGGGUUGUAAAGCUCUUUUGUCAGGGAAGAAACACCGGCUCUAACACAGUCCGGGAAUGACGGUACCUGAAGAAUAAGCAUCGGCUAACUACGUG
rnacentral:rRNA from 1 species